CGCACCUUGCGCUCCCGGGCCAUUCCUGAGAGCAUGCUUGUUUGAGUGUCGCUUACCCCUCUCAACCCCGUUUGUUUUUUGGAACAGAUGGCAGGGUUGGAUCGUGACGCGUUUGCUGGGGCCCCUCUGGGGGAACGAGCUGCGUUGAAAUGCAACAAGCUGAAUCUAACUCAGCGGCUUGACCUGUUGUCGUAACUUAAAAAACUCGACGGGGACGCUGAAAGUAGAACGAGCUUACCACAAACCCAUUUUUAACCAAAUGACCUCAAAUCAAGUAGGACUACCCGCUGAACUUAA
rnacentral:misc_RNA from 1 species